rnacentral:rRNA from 1 species
CAAGUCGAACGCAGUAGCAAUACUGAGUGGCAAACGGGUGAGUAUAAUGUGGGAAUCUGCCUUUUGGUUUGGAAUAACAUGGGGAAACUUGUGCUAAUACCGAAUAAGCCCUUACGGGGAAAGUUUUAAUGCCGAAAGAUGAGCCCGCACUUGAUUAGCUAGUUGGUAAGGUAAAAGCUUACCAAGGCAAUGAUCAAUAGCUGUUCUUAGAGGAAGACCAGCCACAUUGGGACUGAGACACGGCCCAGACUCCUACGGGAGGCAGCAGUGGGGAAUCUUGCACAAUGGGGGAAACCCUGAUGCAGCGAUGCCGCGUGAGUGAAGAAGGCCUUUGGGUUGUAAAACUCUUUCGUCGGGGAAGAAAAUGACUGUACCCGAAUAAGAAGGUCCGGCUAACUUCGUGCCAGCAGCCGCGGUAAUACGAAGGGACCUAGCGUAGUUCGGAAUUACUGGGCUUAAAGAGCUCGUAGGUGGUUAAAAAAGUUGAUGGUGAAAUCCCAGGGCUCAACCUUGGAACUGCCAUCAAAACUUUUUAGCUAGAGUGUGAUAGAGGUAAGUGGAAUUUCUAGUGUAGAGGUGAAAUUCGUAGAUAUUAGAAAGAACACCAAAUGCGAAGGCAACUUACUGGGUCACUACUGACACUGAGGAGCGAAAGCAUGGGUAGCGAAGAGGAUUAGAUACCCUCGUAGUCCAUGCCGUAAACGAUGUGUGCUAGACGUUGGAAAUAUAUUUUUCAGUGUCGCAGCGAAAGCAUUAAGCACACCGCCUGGGGAGUACGACCGCAAGGUUAAAACUCAAAUGAAUUGACGGGGACCCGCACAAGCAGUGGAGCAUGUGUUUAAUUCGAAGAUACGCGCAGAACCUUACCAACACUUGACAUGUUCGUCGCGAGCCUAAGAGAUUAGGCUUUUCAGUUUGGCUGGACGAAACACAGGUGCUGCAUGACUGUCGUCAGCUCGUGUCGUGAGAUGUUGGGUUAGUCCCGCAACGAGCGCAACCCCUACUUUUAGUGCCACCAUUUAGUGGACACUUUAAAAGACUGCAGUGAUAGCUGGAGAAGUGGGAUGACGUCAGUCUCAUGCCCUUAUGUGUGGCUACACACGUGCUACAUGACCUACAAUGGAGCAAAGAGGCGACCUCUAGCUAUCCUAAGUGUCUCCAGUUCGGAAUUGACCUCUGUAAUCG